rnacentral:rRNA from 1 species
GUCUUUUUGAUUAUAAUUUAAAGUCUGACCUGCCCAAUGAGUAUUUGAAUGGCCGCGGUAAUUUGACCGUGCAAAGGUAGCAUAAUCAUUAGUUUUUUAAUUGAAAGCUGGAAUGAAUGGUUGGACGAGAAAAUAACUGUCUCAAUUUAAUUGUAUAUAGAAUUUUAUUUAUAAGUAAAAAAGCUUAUAUGAUUUUAAAAGACGAGAAGACCCUAUAGAGUUUUACAUUUUAUUAUAUUAAUUAAGUUUAGUAUAUUUAUGUUUUUAAUAUAAUAAAGUGUUUUGCUGGGGCAGCAGAAAAAUUAAAUAAACUUUUUUUUAUUAUUGUACAUUGAUUUAUGGUUUAAUGAUCCAUUUUUUAUGAUUAUAAGAUUAAAUUACCUUAGGGAUAACAGCGUAAUUUUUUUUUAGAGUUCUUAUCGAAAAAAGAGUUUGCGACCUCGAUGUUGGAUUAAAAUUAACUUUUGGUGUAGGGGCUAAAAGGUUAGGUCUGUUCGACCUUUAAAAUUUUACAUGAUCUGAGU